AUUAUAUAACUCAGUGGGGAAAACCCGUACAUCGAUGAGGAAGCACUUUGUCCAGCAGACUAACGACGUAUAGAAAUACUGAAAAUGUUUUUUCUCCAGACUACAUUGAGCUGCUGGGUGUUGCUGUGUAUCAGCUCCGUCUCCUCUUUAGACAAUCAAAACAUCACAGCAGAACCUGGACAACAUGUCAACCUGACAUGUGGAGUUCCUGACAGUAAAUCUGUCAUAGUGGUAGAGUGGAGAAGAGCUGAUGUUACAGAAGAAUAUGUUCUUCUAUACAGAGAUGAGCAGAUGGACCCAUUUUCACAGGAACCUUCUUUUCAGAACCGUGUGGAUCUGAGGGAUAGACAGAUGAAGGAUGGAGACGUUUCUUUGGUUCUGAAGAAUGUGACAACUAACGAUACGGGAAUCUAUGAAUGUCGAAUUCAACAUCAAGGAAACCGUGAGAGGAAUCUCAUCUGCAGCGUCUACCUGAUUGUUUCUCCUCCAGGAACAUGAAGACCAUCAGCUGCCUGAUGGAUCCCUCACCGCACCAUCAAACAG